rnacentral:rRNA from 1 species
UACGGAGGGGGCUAGCGUUGUUCGGAAUUACUGGGCGUAAAGCGCACGUAGGCGGCUUUGUAAGUUAGAGGUGAAAGCCCGGGGCUCAACUCCGGAAUUGCCUUUAAGACUGCAUCGCUAGAACGUCGGAGAGGUAAGUGGAAUUCCGAGUGUAGAGGUGAAAUUCGUAGAUAUCGGGAGGAACACCUGUGGCGAAAGCGGCUCACUGGACCACAACUGACGCUGAGGCGCGAAAGCUAGGGGAGCAAACAGG